ACAUGCUUAGAUACCCCCAGCCCUGAAGAUUAUCAUGAGAAACCUGUAGCCGAUUCAUUUCUCUUACUUCAUCUGGGAAGGAAUAGUAUUGUACUUCAUAAAAUAGUGUCAAAAUAGUCACUGUUAUGCUAAACCGGAUUAACAUAAGGUUAUUCACAUCGAACUCCUUUGAUGUGAUCAGUGAUGAUGCUUUUAUUGGUCUUCCACAUCUAGAGUAUUUAUUCAUAGAAAACAACAACAUCAAGUCAAUUUCAAGACAUACUUUCCGGGGACUAAAGUCAUUAAUUCACUUGAGCCUUGCAAACAACAAUCUCCAGACACUCCCAAAAGAUAUUUUCAAAGGCCUGGAUUCUUUAACAAAUGUGGACCUGAGGGGUAAUUCAUUUAAUUGUGACUGUAAACUGAAAUGGCUAGUGGAAUGGCUUGGCCACACCAAUGCAACUGUUGAAGACAUCUACUGCGAAGGCCCCCCAGAAUACAAGAAGCGCAAAAUCAAUAGUCUCUCCUCCAAGGAUUUCGAUUGCAUCAUUACAGAAUUUGCAAAGUCUCAAGACCUGCCUUAUCAAUCAUUGUCCAUAGACACUUUUUCUUAUUUGAAUGAUGAGUAUGUAGUCAUCGCUCAGCCUUUUACUGGAAAAUGCAUUUUCCUUGAAUGGGACCAUGUGGAAAAGACCUUCCGGAAUUAUGACAACAUUACAGGCACAUCCACUGUAGUAUGCAAGCCUAUAGUCAUUGAAACUCAGCUCUAUGUUAUUGUGGCCCAGCUGUUUGGUGGCUCUCACAUCUAUAAACGAGACAGUUUUGCAAAUAAAUUCAUAAAAAUCCAGGAUAUUGAAAUUCUCAAAAUCCGAAAACCCAAUGACAUUGAAACAUUCAAGAUUGAAAACAACUGGUACUUUGUUGUUGCUGACAGUUCAAAAGCUGGUUUUACUACCAUUUACAAAUGGAACGGAAACGGAUUCUACUCCCAUCAAUCCUUACACGCGUGGUACAGGGACACUGAUGUGGAAUAUCUAGAAAUAGUCAGAACACCUCAGACACUCAGAACGCCUCAUUUAAUUUUGUCUAGUAGUUCCCAGCGUCCUGUAAUUUAUCAGUGGAACAAAGCAACACAAUUAUUCACUAACCAAACUGACAUUCCUAACAUGGAGGAUGUGUACGCAGUGAAGCACUUCUCAGUGAAAGGGGACGUGUACAUUUGCUUGACAAGAUUCAUUGGUGAUUCCAAAGUCAUGAAAUGGGGAGGCUCCUCGUUCCAGGAUAUUCAGAGGAUGCCAUCGCGAGGAUCCAUGGUGUUCCAGCCUCUUCAGAUAAAUAAUUACCAAUAUGCAAUUCUUGGAAGUGAUUACUCCUUUACUCAAGUGUAUAACUGGGAUGCAGAGAAAGCCAAAUUUGUGAAAUUUCAGGAAUUAAAUGUUCAGGCACCAAGAUCAUUCACACAUGUGUCCAUUAAUAAGCGUAAUUUUCUUUUUGCUUCCAGUUUUAAGGGAAAUACACAGAUUUACAAACAUGUCAUAGUUGACUUAAGCGCAUGAGACACCAAAUUCUGUGGCUGCCAUCAGAAAUUUUCUACAGUACAUGACCCGGAUGAACUCAAUGCAUGAUGACUCUUCUUAUCACACUUGCAAAUGAAUGCCUUUCAAACAUUGAGACUGCUAGAACCAAGCACUACCAGUAUCUCCAUCCUUAACUGUCCAGUCCAGUGAUGUGGGAAGUUACCUUUUACAAGACAAAAUUUAAUUGUGUAACUGUUCUUUGCAGUGAAGACGUGUAAAUAAGCGUUUAAUGGUAUCUGUUACUCCAAAAAGAAAUAUUAAUAUGUACUUUUCCAUUUAUUUAUUCAUGUGUUCAGAAACAACUGCCAAAUAAAAUGUUUACAUUUUCUUUCAUAUCCCAAAGGUAAUUA
rnacentral:sRNA from 1 species